rnacentral:rRNA from 1 species
ACUCUACUCUGGCUCUGUGAAGAGACGUGAGAGGUGAAGCAUAAGUGGGGUGGCGUGCGGUUCGGCCCCGUUACGGCGGGGUUCGCGCGUACGUCAGUGGAAUACCACUACUCUCAUCGUUUCUUACUCGCUGGAGCGGAGAGCGGACCAAUGAGUGUCCACUCUUCUAGCGCCAAGUGCAGUGGUCCCCGGGCCUCCGUCGGGUGCGCUCGGUGGGCCUGCACGAUCUGUUCCGAGGAGAGUGUCAGGCGGGGAGUUUGACUGGGGCGGUACAUUUAUCAAACGGUACAUCUGUCAGAAGGAGCAAAUCGUCUGCAAUCGUGGACUUAAACCUUCUUGAUGGUCGUGAAGGUUGCGUACAGCCUCUCCCGCUUCAAGUGU